rnacentral:rRNA from 1 species
CAGUCGCCGCGGGAAUACAGAGGGUGCGAGCGUUAAUCGGAAUUACUGGGCGUAAAGCGCGCGUAGACGGUUUUGUAAGUCAGAUGUGAAAUCCCUGGGCUCAACCUGGGAACUGCAUUUGAUACUGCAUGGCUAGAGUAUCGAAGAGGGAAGUGGAAUUUCCGGUGUAGCGGUGAAAUGCGUAGAUAUCGGAAGGAACACCAGUGGCGAAAGCGACUUCCUGGUCGAAUACUGACGUUCAUGUGCGAAAGCGUGGGGAGCAAACAGGAUUAGAUACCCCGGUAGUCCCUGUCUCUUAUAC